rnacentral:rRNA from 1 species
AUGAUCGACAGGCUGGCGGUGUUCGCAUGCCGCGUCGUGUUCGGCAACACCGCUAGGCCGGACGUCGGGUCCUUCACCAGAAAGAUCCAGAGCAACGUCUACCCAGUCAUCGACGUCGGGUCCUACAACAAGAUCAAGAGCGACCAGACCCAGGUGCUGCCGGCGAUGACAAGCAUCGAAGGGGACGCGAUGGAGUUCGCCGGCGGCGAGCGGGAACGUUUCGACACCAUCGUCUUCGCCACCGGGUACCGCAGCACGGCAAAGAAGUGGCUCAAGAGCGACGAUGGCAGGCUGAUCGGCGAUGAUGGGAUGGCAUCCGGAAGAUCUCCCAAGGGGGAGAACGGGCUGUACCGCGUGGGAGAGGGAUCUACGGCAGCGGCACGAACGAGUUCAUUGCAGAGGAUAUAA